AGUGAACGCUGGCGGUAGGCCUAACACAUGCAAGUCGAACGAGUGGCGGACGGGUGAGGAAUACAUCGGAAUCUCCUCUGUCGUGGGGGAUAACGUAGGGAAACUUACGCUAAUACCGCAUACUAUUGAUUGAGCAGAUGUCGGCUUAGCUAGUUGGCGGGGUAAAGGCCCACCAUGGCGACGAUCCGUAGCUGGUCUGAGAGGAUGAUCAGACACACUGGAACUGAGACACGGUCCAGACUCCGACGGGAGGCAGCAGUGGGGAAUAUUGGACAAGGGGCGCAAGCCUGAUCCAGCCAUACCGCGUGGGGGAAGAAGGCCUUCGGGUGGUAAAGCCCUUUUGUUGGGAAAGCGGUACCCAAAGAAUAAGCACCGGCUAACUACGUGCCAGCAGCCGCGGUAAUUC
rnacentral:rRNA from 1 species